rnacentral:lncRNA from 1 species
AUAAAAAUCACCUUCGAUUGCAAGUGAAGACUCUUAAUUAAUUAGUAAUGACAGCAAGUGGUUUUAAAAUCUAAACCAGCGAUUGCGAUACGAUAUUUUUUCUCUUAAAGCAGUAAAGAGAUUAAAUUAAAUGGUUGCAAUCCGUACAAAAAAAAAUCACAGAUCGCUCUUUAUGUACUUUAGUAAAUGUUUAUAACAAUAUUAUGACCUUUUUUUUUUUUAAAGAAAUGACCAAGUUUUAUUGCAAUGCCUUUUAUACUUUUUUUCCCAAAUAAAAUUU